rnacentral:tRNA from 1 species
CAAUCAAUAUCUUAAAACAAAGAAUUAAUUUUUUAAAUUAAAUAUAGUAAUUUUACUUUGAUUGA